GAUGAACGCUGGCGGCGUGCCUAAUACAUGCAAGUCGAGCGAACAGACGAGGAGCUUGCUCCUCUGACGUUAGCGGCGGACGGGUGAGUAACACGUGGAUAACCUACCUAUAAGACUGGGAUAACUUCGGGAAACCGGUGCUACUACCGGCUAAUAUAUUGAACCGCAUGGUUCAAUAGUGAAAGACGGUUUUGCUGUCACUUAUAGCUGGAUCCGCGCCGCAUUAGCUAGUUGGUAAGGUAACGGCUUACCAAGGCGACGAUGCGUAGCCGACCUGAGAGGGUGAUCGGCCACACUGGAACUGAGACACGGUCCAGACUCCUACGGGAGGCAGCAGUAGGGAAUCUUCCGCAAUGGGCGAAAGCCUGACGGAGCAACGCCGCGUGAGUGAUGAAGGUCUUCGGAUCGUAAAACUCUGUUAUUAGGGAAGAAAAAAUGUAUAAGUAACUAUGCACGUCUUGACGGUACCCAAUCAGAAAGCCACGGCUAACUACGUG
rnacentral:rRNA from 1 species